UGUAGUCAUAUGCUUGUCUCAAAAAUUAAGCCAUGCAUGUGUAAGUAUAAAUCGUAAGAUGAAACUGCGAAAGGCUCAUUAAAACAGUAAUCGUUUAUUUGAUGGUCAAUUUCUAUGUGGAUAACCGUAGUAAUUCUAGGGCUAAUACAUGCUUAACCGCCUGACUUUUUGGAAGGGUUAUGUUUAUUAGAUACAGAGCCAACCCAGCUCGCUGGAGUACAGAGGUGAAUUAUUGUAAAUUAAUUGAUCGUUAGUUUUUCUAGCGACAUAUCUUUCAAGUUUCUGACCUAUCAGCUUUGGACGGUAGUGUAUUGGACUACCGUGGCUAUGACGGGUAACGGAGAAUUAGGGUUCGAUUCCGGAGAGGGAGCCCGAGAAACGGCUACCACAUCUAAGGAAGGCAGCAGGCGUGCAAAUUACCCAAUCCUGACAAAGGGAGGUAGUGACAAGAAAUAACAAUACAGGGCGAUAAUGUCUUGUAAUUGGAAUGAGUGAAAUUUAAAUCUCUUUCCGAGUACCAAUUGGAGGGCAAGUCUGGUGCCAGCAGCCA
rnacentral:rRNA from 1 species